AGCGAACGCUGGCGGCAGGCCUAACACAUGCAAGUCGAACGAACUCUUCGGAGUUAGUGGCGGACGGGUGAGUAACACGUGGGAACGUGCCUUUAGGUUCGGAAUAACUCAGGGAAGCUUGUGCUAAUACCGAAUGUGCUCUUCGGGGGAAAGAUUUAUCGCCUUUAGAGCGGCCCGCGUCUGAUUAGCUAGUUGGUGAGGUAAAGGCUCACCAAGGCGACGAUCAGUAGCUGGUCUGAGAGGAUGAUCAGCCACAUUGGGACUGAGACACGGCCCAAACUCCUACGGGAGGCAGCAGUGGGGAAUCUUGCGCAAUGGGCGAAAGCCUGACGCAGCCAUGCCGCGUGAAUGAUGAAGGUCUUAGGAUUGUAAAAUUCUUUCACCGGGGACGAUAAUGACGGUACCCGGAGAAGAAGCCCCGGCUAACUUCGUG
rnacentral:rRNA from 1 species